UACCAGCACCCCGAGUGGUCGGGACGAUUAUUGGGCCUAAAGCAUCCGUAGCCGGUUUUACAAGUCCUCCGUUAAAUCCAACUGCUUAACAGAUGGGCCGCGGAGGAUACUAUAAGACUAGGAGGCAGGAGAGGCAAGCGGUACUCAGUGGGUAGGGGUAAAAUGCGUAGAUAUCUGAAGGAACAUCAGUGGCGAAAGCGACUUCCUGGUCCAAUACUGACGCUCAUGUGCGAAAGCGUGGGGAGCAAACAGG
rnacentral:rRNA from 1 species